rnacentral:rRNA from 1 species
UACGUAGGGUGCAAGCGUUAAUCGGAAUUACUGGGCGUAAAGCGUGCGCAGGCGGUUGUGCAAGACCGAUGUGAAAUCCCCGGGCUUAACCUGGGAAUUGCAUUGGAGACUGCAAGGCUAGAAUCUGGCAGAGGGGGGUAGAAUUCCACGUGUAGCAGUGAAAUGCGUAGAGAUGUGGAGGAACACCGAUGGCGAAGGCAGCCCCCUGGGUCAAGAUUGACGCUCAUGCACGAAAGCGUGGGGAGCAAACAGG